AUUGAACGCUGGCGGCAUGCCUUACACAUGCAAGUCGAACGGCAGCACGGGUGCUUGCACCUGGUGGCGAGUGGCGAACGAGUGAGUAAUACAUCGGAACAUGUCCUGUAGUGGGGGAUAGCCCGGCGAAAGCCGGAUUAAUACCGCAUACGAUCUACGGAUGAAAGCGGGGGACCUUCGGGCCUCGCGCUAUAGGGUUGGCCGAUGGCUGAUUAGCUAGUUGGUGGGGUAAAGGCCUACCAAGGCGACGAUCAGUAGCUGGUCUGAGAGGACGGCCAGCCACACUGGGACUGAGACACGGCCCAGACUCCUACGGGAGGCAGCAGUGGGGAAUUUUGGACAAUGGGCGAAAGCCUGAUCCAGCAAUGCCGCGUGUGUGAAGAAGGCCUUCGGGUUGUAAAGCACUUUUGUCCGGAAAGAAAUCCUUGGCUCUAAUACAGUCGGGGGAUGACGGUACCGGAAGAAUAAGCACCGGCUAACUACGUG
rnacentral:rRNA from 1 species